GGGGAUGUAGCUCAGUAGUAAGAGUGCAUGCUUCGCAUGUAUGAGGUCCUGGGUUCAAUCCCCAGCUUCUCCA